AAAUCCCUUACUGGCUAACUCACCAAGGAAGUAAGGAAGCUGGUGUAUGUUCAGCCUUCACCACUGCAUUGGGCAAUUUUUCAUUCAUUUGUUCAUUUAUUUCACAAUAUAUUUUUUUUGGGCCCAUCAUGGACUAGACACUGUGCAGUGUGGUGUAGAUACAAUGAUGAACAAGACAGGACACAGUUUCUGUCUCAGGGGGCUUACAGUCUUGCUGGAGAGGGAGCUUUAAGCAAAUAAUUACACAAAGCUUGAUUAAAAUCAGAUGAGCCUGAAAAUGCUCCGCCAAGAAUUCUAAUGAGAAACAGAUUUCCUCUGGCUCAGCCUGUCCUUCACCUGCAGACUUCUAAGCAGAGAUACUGCUGUCCACUCCUGCCGAGAGUCCAAGGGGGGUUUGUUUUAAAUUCUCUUCUGCAGCAAUUGGAGCUUUGAACGUUUGAGAACACAUUUCAGAUUUCUCUUCUUUUAUACUUUAGCCAAAAAGCACGGGGUCAAAAUAUGAAAGGAAGCAAACACAGUCAUUUGGUGGAGGGUUGGGGCUAAUCACCCCGAAGUCCUGGUCGUUCAUCAGCAAGCCCUUAAGUUGAAAGUGCAGGGAUCCCAGUUUGCACGGAGAAAUGUUUGUUCUGUCGUGUGAAUGUUCCUGUUUGUGGUCCCACCCACAGACUCCAGCGUGGGUCAAUGACUCUAUUGUGAAGCAAAGAAAGCCAAAGCAAGACCUUAGCCAGAAAGAUGUGAAAGUGGGUUUUGUCCCUUUAACCUGAAACAGACGUUAUGAAAGAGAUUAGUCAACCUCUACUAUGUGGGCUCAGGAAAUGUCCUGAAUUUUCAUAGCUUUGGAGAGUUCUAAGACAAACAUGGUCUCUGCUUUUGCCCUCGCGGUCAGAACCCCAAGCCUGCCUGGCCCCCUGCAGCCCUGCCAUUGUCUCUCACAGCCCCGUCUCUGUCUGUCUUGUUUGCUCUGCUUCCCACAGGCUUUGCCUGCUCAGUCCACAGGGUGGAGGGAGGGUGGGGGCAUUUCUUCCAGCAACCCAGCGCAGACCCUCGACUCCCCCUGGGUUUACACAUCAUUGUGGAAAGAGCGUUCUUUUCAUUUCCUAUGUCAUCCUGUCUCAAAAAAAAAUCCUUAUUUCUUAAAAGCGUCCCUUCCUAUGAGCAAUCAGGAUGGAGGUUUGCUAAAACAUACUUUGGCUUGUGGCUGGGCAUGGUGGCUCACACCUAUAAUCCCAGCACUUUGGGAGGCCGAGGUGGGCAGAUCACCUGAGGUCAGGAGUUCAAGACCAGCCUGGUCAACAUGAUGAAACCCCGUCUGUACUAACAAUACAAAAAUUAACUGGGCAUGGUGGCUCAGGCCUGUAAUCCUAGCUACUAGGAAGGAUGAGGCAGGAGAAUCGCUUGAACCCAGGAGGUGAAGGUUGCAAUGAGUCGA
rnacentral:lncRNA from 1 species